rnacentral:rRNA from 1 species
CAGUCGCCGCGGGAAUACGUAGGCAGCAAGCGUUGUUCGGAAUUACUGGGCGUAAAGAGUGUGUAGGCGGUGCUCUAAGUUCGGUGUGAAAUCUCCUGGCUUAACUGGGAGGGUGCGCCGAAAACUGGAGUGCUCGAGCGUGGGAGAGGAAAGCGGAAUUCCUGGUGUAGCGGUGAAAUGCGUAGAUAUCAGGAGGAACACCUGUGGUGUAGACAGCUUUCUGGACCAUAGCUGACGCUGAGACACGAAAGCGUGGGUAGCAAACAGGAUUAGAUACCCGAGUAGUCCCUGUCUCUUAUAC